CAGCCGCCGCGGGAAUACGGAGGGUGCAAGCGUUAUCCGGAUUUAUUGGGUUUAAAGGGUCCGUAGGCGGAUCUGUAAGUCAGUGGUGAAAUCUCACAGCUUAACUGUGAAACUGCCAUUGAUACUGCAGGUCUUGAGUAAAUUUGAAGUGGCUGGAAUAAGUAGUGUAGCGGUGAAAUGCAUAGAUAUUACUUAGAACACCAAUUGCGAAGGCAGGUCACUAAGAUUUAACUGACGCUAAUGGACGAAAGCGUGGGGAGCGAACAGGAUUAGAGACCCCGCGUAGUCCCUGUCUCUUAUA
rnacentral:rRNA from 1 species